UUCAGUUUCUCAGACUUAGCCCUAGCUUUAGGGCAAUCCCAUCACAAAUCGAUUUCGCAGACGCGUUGUUUCGCUCCACGGCCGCAUGUAGGUCUAUGGUCGACUGGUGACACUGGUUUUGACCUGAGUUCGUCAAGACUCAGGUUAGGUCUCCAUCUCAGUGUCUCUGCCUCUUCCUUUUGGUCUCUACUCAGGCUCUCGUGUUCGUCAACGACACAACAGUAAUAUCCUUCUUCGAUGAGGCUUGUGGAUGCUUCCUUUCUGCCAUUUCCUCCUCCAAUCGGUUCAGAUUCGCAUUUAUUUCCUAUUUUGCAAAAAAGAAAAGUAAGCCCCCAAAUCUUCUCUGUCUCUUUCUCGCGUCGUAUAAGGUAAGUCGAGCUAACUAUCUCGCACUGUCUCUGUAAUAUGCUACUCGUGUAUUUCACGAGUGUGGCUCCUAGCUUUGAAUUUUCUAGAUGAGUUUUGAAUAUGUCAUCUCGUAUUUGCAAGAUUUGGGAGGUCUAUUUACAAGCAGCUUGAUGAAUUGAUUUGGAGUUUCGUAGGAGAUUAGUGGACUUGCCUUUAAUCUUUCUACAAGGUUUCAAACCUGGGAUUGUUUCCAGUGACCAUGUUUUUGCAAUUAUAAACCCCCCAUAGGUACUCUCUUGUGCUCUGUUUCUCUGGAAAAUAUUCAAGAAUUUAUUGGUCACCUGCUGCAAUAAUCUCUUGGUAGCCCAAAACCAGUAGACACAUGUCAUUCUUGACGACUCAUUGCAGAAGUGUCUUACAUUGAGAUCCAACUGAAUGAUUCUUACAUAAGUGCCAUUUGGAUUAAGACUUUUUGAAUCUUUGUUCUUUGUUUCAGCUACAAGAGACUGAAACUGCCUAGUGUCCUGGUCAACAAGGAUAAGUUUUUCCAACAUGCUUCCUUUCUUCUUGAUGUCUGACAUUCUCUAUUUAUGCAAUGCUUCUUGAUUUAGUCAUUGACAUGUAAUAAAUUUCUGAGGAUAUAUCUAUGCAGUUCAAGAAUUUUUAGCUGCCCUUGUAAUACUUGGUGUCAAAUUGCUUUCAUGCGUACCAGCUGCAGCUGCAGCAUCAACAUUCACACGAUUCAUUUCGCAAAUCAAGGCAAGAUAAUGAAGUGGUGAUAUUUAUGAGGAUGAGGAAGAGGAAGAGGAGGGAGGUGAAAAUGAGAAUGAUGAAUAGGAUUGAAUUUCUUUAAGUUAAGUUAUUUAAUUGAAUCUUAUGAUAAAUUGAUGAAAUACUAUUUGAUGUAUUGGAUUAUUUGUUGAAAUACUAUUUGAUGUGGUUUUAGAUUCGUGA